rnacentral:sRNA from 1 species
GCCAGGGGUGGUGGCGCACGCCUGUAAUCCCAGUGACUCAGGAGGCUGAGGCAGGAGGAUUGCAAGUUCGAGGCCAGCCUCAGCAACUUAGACCCUAAGCAACUUAGUGAGACCCUGUCUCAA